UACGAAGGGUGCAAGCGUUGUUCGGAUUUAUUGGGCGUAAAGCGCGCGUAGGCGGAUAUUCAAGUCGCAUGUUAAACCCCGAAGCUCAACUUUGGAUGUGCGUGCGAAACUAGAUAUCUAGAAUCUUGGAGGGGAAAGGGGAAUUUCACGUGUAGGGGUAAAAUCCGUAGAGAUGUGAAGGAACACCAGAGGCGAAGGCGCCUUUCUGGCCAAGUAUUGACGCUGAGGUGCGAAAGCGUGGGGAUCAAACAGG
rnacentral:rRNA from 1 species